GAAAAGCCUCUAGAUAGAAAAUAGGUGCCCGUACCGCAAACCGACACAGGUAGUCAAGAUGAGAAUUCUAAGGUGAGCGAGCGAACUCUCGUUAAGGAACUCGGCAAAAUGACCCCGUAACUUCGGGAGAAGGGGUGCUCUUUAGGGUUAACGCCCAGAAGAGCCGCAGUGAAUAGGCCCAAGCGACUGUUUAUCAAAAACACAGGUCUCUGCUAAACCGUAAGGUGAUGUAUAGGGGCUGACGCCUGCCCGGUGCUGGAAGGUUAAGAGGAGUGGUUAGCUUCUGCGAAGCUACGAAUCGAAGCCCCAGUAAACGGCGGCCGUAACUAUAACGGUCCUAAGGUAGCGAAAUUCCUUGUCGGGUAAGUUCCGACCCGCACGAAAGGCGUAACGAUUUGGGCACUGUCUCAACGAGAGACUCGGUGAAAUCAUAGUACCUGUGAAGAUGCAGGUUACCCGCGACAGGACGGAAAGACCCCGUGGAGCUUUACUGUAGCCUGAUAUUGAAAUUCGGCACAGCUUGUACAGGAUAGGUAGGAGCCUUUGAAACGUGAGCGCUAGCUUACGUGGAGGCGCUGGUGGGAUACUACCCUAGCUGUGUUGGCUUUCUAACCCGCACCACUUA
rnacentral:rRNA from 1 species